ACCACGUGGUUGGCAGCAGGGUUAAAUACGAGCACUUCUCCUGUUUUAGGCCCAUUUCUACUUGGGCUGGAGAGGAAGACACCUGAAGAACUCUGCUAAGACCACUGGAGAAGAAGAAAGAGGCAAAUAUGGCACUACUGGGCUUGAUCUACAUAGGAGGAGUUUGAGAUCUUCAGCGUUUCUCCAGAUGAGCCGUGGACACCUGGACAUUGGGAUGUACAGUGCAGUCAUCCAUAAAGUAGAAAGCACUACUAAACCCCUCGCCACAGUGUAGUGUUUCCUACUUUAUGGAUGAGUGUACUGUUGGCUGCUGGGAAACUUCACGCUGCUCGACACAGAACGACAGGAAAGAGAGAAAAGAGGAACUGGCUUGGUUUCGUAAAGCCGUGCACGUCUCAUGGUGUCAAUGCAAGUCCACGUGAGACGGCGGCAUGCUUGAAGAAACUAAAGCCAGGUUUCUCUGAUUGCUGUAAAAUCAUUGAAAAUGUCUUGUAUGAUGUAUGUAAACUUCAAUAAAACAGAAACAAAUAAAACACA